GACGAACGCUGGCGGCGUGCUUAACACAUGCAAGUCGAACGGAAAGGCCCUGCUUUUGUGGGGUGCUCGAGUGGCGAACGGGUGAGUAACACGUGAGUGACCUGCCCUUGACCUUGGGAUAACUUCAGGAAACUGGGGCUAAUACCGGAUAGGAGCUCCUGCUGCAUGGUGGGGGUUGGAAAGUUUCGGCGGGUGGGGAUGGACUCGCGGCUUAUCAGCUUGUUGGUGGGGUAGUGGCUUACCAAGGCUUUGACGGGUAGCCGGCCUGAGAGGGUGACAGGCCACAUUGGGACUGAGAUACGGCCCAGACUCCUACGGGAGGCAGCAGUGGGGAAUAUUGCACAAUGGGCGGAAGCCUGAUGCAGCAACGCCGCGUGCGGGAUGACGGCCUUCGGGUUGUAAACCGCUUUCGCCUUUGACGAAGCGUGAGUGACGGUAAUGGGUAAAGAAGCACCGGCUAACUACGUGCCAGCCGCCGCCGUAA
rnacentral:rRNA from 1 species